AGGACCCGGACCCACAAAGGCGCACUCCUGCAGUUAAGCUCGGCGUUCUCGUGAAAGGAACCAAAAGGGGAAAACGGAGUGAAACGAUGUUGCGAGAGGCCCGGAGCAGCUCGAGUAGUGGUUCUUUGUCGUUGAGGGUCUGGAUCGUGAAUUUCUGUCGAUACAUUAAGAAACAAAUGAUGCUGUUGAAUGUUCGGGAACUUUUGUCAUCUGCAGCUCCAGAAACCAAUCGUUUUUGCUUCCGUUACUUGCACACUGCAGUGACGCUCUCCUCACGCACCCACUAGUCCAAUUUUGGUCAUUCCAUUCCUUGGUAUUCCUUGGCUCAAACCCUCUCAAACAGUUGCAGAUUGGUGAAUUAUUGGAGUCACAGAUUCCAUAUGCCCCACAGUAAUUAAAGAUUUUUUCUUGAUGUACCUGUUUUCUGGUGUGCACUAAUUACCAAAUUUGAAUGGUCUGUGUCACUUGGAUGUCGGAAACUCUCCCAUAAUGUCUUGCCUGUGUGGUCUAUCAGCACAAGGUUACCGGAAUUAAGAAGUUGGGCGGUCGAACUUGAUGCUCUGUUUGUUACAUUUGAUGUCCAAAAAACCUCUUUCUUUCCAUUCAACAGUACAAGAUUGUUGUUCUCAGAUAUGGUAAUGAUCCCAGAAGAAUCCCGCAGUGGUUGGUUUCUGUUGGCCGCCCAUAUGACUUUGAAAUUGGAGACAUACCAAAUUCCUACAUAGCGAUCUGUUGUAUUUUUGGGGCUGAAGAAUCCAAGUUUGAAUGCUCUGUUGUUUGAGCUUACAGUUUCUGAAUCUCUGAUGAAUACAGACGAUGUAAUCGAUUCGAAGGAUGUAAUCAAACCUACACAGAAGCUUAACAGUAUGAGAAAAAUAGGCAGUAAUCCCAUGACUUGAAGGACCAGAACCGUUUUCCUCAGCUCCCCAAAAGCUUGGACAAGGUUUUCAUGAAUGAAACCUGCAUUUCUUGGAUUGAAAAGCAGUCACUUUGGAACGAAAGAGCAUUGACUUUCACUUUUGGCCAGAGAAAGACUAAAGACUCCAAUGUAAAUCAGUCCGCAACUCUUGUUAUUAUCUGUGUCUCUUCGCCCCAAAUUGUAAUUGCAAGUCUCUCUCUCUCUCUCUCUCUCUCUCUCUCACAAUUUUCUGGAAGGUUGACAUAUUCAUUUAAGGAAGACUGGAAGAGCAACGACUUUUCUUUUUGGCCAAAGAAAGACUUUAAUGUAAACCGGCCCCACACUUCUAAUUUUAGAUUUGUGUUUCUAUCA